rnacentral:lncRNA from 1 species
AUUUAGCCUCCAAGGUGUCUGGUAAAAACCUGAGAAUACACAGCUAAAGUGCAAUGCCAAGACAUCCAUAUGCUUCACUUGAACUGGGACCAUGCAGUGUUUUGAUUAUAGCUUUAAUGUAAGAGUAUGAACCUCUAGAAAGGCCAUAAAAGGUGUUGUCAAGGUUAUAGGAGGUGUUGUCAAGGCUAGAGUAGGUGUUGUCAAGGUUAUAGGAGGUGUUGUCAAGGCUAGAGUAGGUGUUGUCAAGGUUAUAGGAGGUGUUGUCAAGGCUAGAGUAGGUGUUGUCAAGGUUAGAGGAGGUGUUGUCAAGGUUAGAUGAGGUGUUGUCAAGGUUAUAGGAGGUGUUGUCAAGGCUAGAGUAGGUGUUGUCAAGGCAAGAGUAGGUGAUUUCGAAGUUAGAGGAGGUGUGGUCAAAAUUAGAGGAGGUGUGGUCAAGGUUAGAGGAGGUGUGGUCAAAAUUAGAGGAGGUGUGGUAAAGGAUAGAGGAGGUGUUGUCAAGGUUAGAGGAGGUGUUGUCAAGGUUAGAGGAGGUGUUGUCAAGGUUAGAGGAGGUGUUGUCAAGGUUAGAGGAGGUGUUGUCAAGGUUAGAGGAGGUGUUUUCAAGGCUAGAGGAGGUGUUGUCAAGGUUAGAGGAGGUGUUGUCAAGGCUAGUUGAGGUGUUGUCAAGGUUAGAGGAGGUGUUGUCAAGGCUAGAGGAGGUGUUGUCAAGGUUAGAGGAGGUGUUGUCAAUGUUAGUGGAGGUGUUGUCAAGGUUAGAUGAGGUGUUGUCGAGGUUAGAGAAGCUGUUGUCAAGGUUAGAGGAGGUGUUGUCAAGGCUAGAGGAGGUGUUGUCAAGGUUAGUGGAGGUGUUGUCAAGGUUAGAGAAGCUGUUGUCAAGGUUAGAGGAGGUGUUGUCAAGGCUAGAGGGGGUGUUGUCAAUGUUAGAGGAGGUGUUGUCAAGGUUAGAUGAGGUGUUGUCAAGGUUAGAGUAGCUGUUGUCAAGGCUUGAGGAGGUGUUGUCAAGGUUAGAUGAGGUGUUGUCAAGGUUAGAGGAGCUGUUGUCAUGUUAGAUGAGGUGUUGUCAAGGUUAGAGGAGCUGUUGUCAAGGUUAGUGGCGGUGUUGUCAAUGUUAGAUCAGGUGUUGUCAAGGUUAGAGGAGCUGUUGUCAAAGUUAGAGGAGGUGUUGUCAAGGUUAGAGGAGGUGUUGUCAAGGUUAGAGGAGGUGGUGUCAAGGUUAGAGGAGCUGUUGUCAAGGUUAGAGGAGCUAUUGUCAAAGUUAGAGGAGGUGUUGUCAAGGCUAGAUGAGGUGUUGUCAAGGCUAGAGGAGGUGUUGUCAAGGUUAGAGGAGGUGUUGU